rnacentral:rRNA from 1 species
GCGCAGCAGGCGCGAAUUUUUCACAAUGGGGGAAACCCUGAUGGAGCGACGCCGCGUGGAGGAUGAAGGCCUUUUGGUCGUAAACUCCUGUCAAACGGGAACAAGAAAGUGAUAGUACCGUUAGAGGAAGAGACGGCUAACUCUGUGCCAGCAGCCGCGGUAAUACAGAGGUCUCAAGCGUUGUUCGGAUUCAUUGGGCGUAAAGGGUGCGUAGGUGGCAUGGUAAGUUGAAGGUGAAAUCUCGGAGCUUAACUCCGAAACUGCCUUCAAUACUGCUGUGCUUGAGGACUGUAGAGGAGAAUGGAAUUCAUGGUGUAGCAGUGAAAUGCGUAGAUAUCAUGAGGAAGGCCAGUGGCGAAGGCGAUUCUCUGGGCAGUUCCUGACACUGAGGCACGAAGGCUAGGGGAGCAAACGGGAUUAGAU